GAUGAACGCUGGCGGCGUGCUUAACACAUGCAAGUCGAACGGUGAAGGUGGAGCUUGCUCUGCUGGAUCAGUGGCGAACGGGUGAGUAACACGUGAGCAAUCUGCCCCUGACUCUGGGAUAAGCGCUGGAAACGGCGUCUAAUACUGGAUACGAACUUGGACCGCAUGGUCACUUGUUGGAAAGAAUUUCGGUCAGGGAUGAGCUCGCGGCCUAUCAGCUUGUUGGUGAGGUAAUGGCUCACCAAGGCGUCGACGGGUAGCCGGCCUGAGAGGGUGACGGGGAACACUGGGACUGGGACACGGCCCAGACUCCUACGGGAGGCAGCAGUGGGGAAUAUUGCACAAUGGGCGAAGCCUGAUGCAGCAACGCCGCGUGAGGGAUGACGGCCUUCGGGUUGUAAACCUCUUUUAGCAGGGAAGAAGCGAAAGUGACGGUACCUGCAGAAAAAGCGCCGGCUAACUACGUGCCAGCAGCCGCGGUAAUAC
rnacentral:rRNA from 1 species